CCGCUGAGAUUCAUUCAUCCUAUCAUCUAGGAGAGAAUAGGGCUUACGAAACAGCAACUGAAAGAGUUUACUUCCUGAGCUCACUGCCUCACACUACUAUAAGCAGUGCUUUCUUCUUUGCUAAAUAGAAUGUCAAACUUGAAAAAAAAAACAUACGAUAGAGAUUUUCCUUCCUUUUGGAUAGUUGCUUUAUUCUUUCGAUUCUGGGCAUGUUCGACUAGGGAAAUCAUCUGGUCAUGUUAGCUCUACAGCGGAUUGGUACAAUUGAUAGUGUUUCAAAGCCUAUUACGACAUAUGCAAGCCAUAGAAAAGAGAGUUAAAGAGAGUCUCCUUUAGGGAUGCUUAUCCUUGAACUAACUCUCCUGCCCAAUCCAUUAAAAGCUCUAUGAUCUU
rnacentral:lncRNA from 1 species